AUGGGGCAAGAAAUUUUUAAUCCAAUUUGGCGUAAUAUCUGGAAUUUAUCGUGUCCGGCAAAGGUUAAAUUUUUUAUUUGGAAGGCGUUGCAUGGCACUCUCCCAUGCCGUGUUACACUUGCCAAUAGACAUAUGAAUGUUUCACCAAUUUGUCCUUCGUGUUCUUCUGGGUAAGAAGAUACAAAACAUUUGUUGUUCCAGUGCCAAAAAGCUAAAGAGGUUUGGAGAAGACUUGGUUUGGACGGAGUUAUUUCUACAGCUUGUGAAGUUGAUUAUGCUGGUGAGGCUGUCCUGGAAUUUUUAUUACAAUUUCCAAACCAAGAUUUAGCUAUUUUAGGGACCCAGGAUACACGUGAGAUGAUUGCUAUCACGACAUGGUAUUUGUGGUGGGAAAGGCGUAAACUUGUGCACAAGGAGAAAGUUCAAGAUGCUAAACAGAUAUCUAUGGGGAUUCAAGUUCUUACGGCUAAUUAUGUUAUUGCUUCCUCUCUUAAUGCUUCCAUGAAAAGGGAGGGUUGGAGCCAGCCCCCGAUGGGCUUUGUGAAAAUUACUGUUGAUGCUUUUUUCGAUCAUGACCUUCUUAACGGAGCGACCGGAGCGGUUCUGAGGGACGACAAAGGAAAUUUUAUUGCAUGGGGUUGCUGGAGAAUUGACUUGUGUGUGGAUGUUCUCACGGCGGAAGCUCUGGUGCUUAGGUUUGGGCUAUCCCUGGCGCAACGGGGAGGAUGUAAUCGACUUGUCAUCAAUUCUGGUAACUUGGAGGUCAUCGAGACUGUGAAUAAUGGACGACGGGCGGCAGGAGUGGCGGCGGCAAUUUUUGAUGAUUGUUAUUUUAUUGCUUGUGUUUUUUAUAUGUCCAAGUUUGAACAUUGUAAUAGAAAGGCAAAUAAAGUAGCUCAUGAACUUGCUAGGUUGGCUAGAUUCUCUGAUAUUGUUGGUUGGUUUGAGGAGCCACUGAAUGAAAUUGUACCCUUCCUCUUAAACGAUGUAUCAGUUAUUUCAAUUGAAUAA
rnacentral:rRNA from 1 species